GACUGAAGUAACACAAGAAAGGAGCAGCGAUUAAAUUUAUAUUGUACACUAGAUCAGGCUUCAAAUCAUAGUUCUUGGACACAAAUAAGUAGAGCACGAAAAUUACUUGUCCCAAGCACGCAAUAACAUGUCUGAACCACCAGUGCGAUCUGAUACCUUCACACCUAGUUGGGAUCCAAUGUUUGAUAUUAAUUGUCCAACCUCACAAGUAGAAGGAACUUGGAACUUCAAGGUUAUCUAAAACAUAGGACAAACAUCUUAUCAUCAAAGUUAGGCAUCCAGUACCACUCAGAAGUAAUUCAUAUCCCCAAAGUCUCGAAAGUAAAGAGGCAAAAAGAGAAGGGUCAUUGUAUGAAACCUUUUGACCCCUGACAGCAACAUUGAACCGUGGGUAAGAACCAUACUGAGUUCCUUUACUUUGUAUUAGUUCUUCAACCCGAGCUCGUUCUUUCUUGGCAAUGUCUACAUAGUUUGGUGGAGGAUCUAUCGGAACAGGUGACUUUUCAUUAGCCUACAAGAGGUUAAGUUAUGAACAGUAAAUGGACUAAUUCAUCAAUCAACACCAACGAUUCAAUUUUUGUUGUUACUGUGUUGUGCUACAAAACCUGAUCAGAUUCAGCAUAAGCUACUCCUAUUGCUCCAAAACUAAAGAGAGCACCAAAAAAUGCAGGUGCCAUGGAAAAGCAUGGAGAAUCGUUUAAGGUGCUGCAAGAUCUCAAGACUUGAUUUGCUUUUGAAUUACUCUGCUCAAAGGUUCCUGCAAAACCAAAGACGCAAUUUUUACUAAGACAAAAAGAUCAAAGACGUCGUAAUUUCAAGUAAAACAACAAAAAAAAUCAAAACUUUAAUGCAAG
rnacentral:lncRNA from 1 species